AUACAUAGGUGGCGAGCGUUACUCGGAAUUACUAGGCGUAAAGCGUAUGCAGGCGGUCAGAUAAGUCUCUGGUGAAAACUCACGGCUCAACCGUGAGAGGCCCAGGGAUACUGUUUGGCUUGAGUGUGGGAGGGGGAGACGGAAUUCCUGGUGUAGCGGUGAAAUGCGUAGAUAUCAGGAGGAACACCGAUGGCGAAAGCAGUCUCCUGGCCCAAUACUGACGCUAAUAUACGAAAGCUAGGGUAGCAAACAGGAUUAGAUACCCUGGUAGUCCUAGCUGUAAACGAUGUUCACUAGAUGUGGGAGGUAUCGACCCCUUCCGCGUCGACGCUAACGCAUUAAGUGAACCGCCUGGGGAGUACGGCCGCAAGGUUGAA
rnacentral:rRNA from 1 species